rnacentral:rRNA from 1 species
GACGAACGCUGGCGGCGUGCUUAACACAUGCAAGUCGAACGGAAAGGCCCUGCUUUUGUGGGGUGCUCGAGUGGCGAACGGGUGAGUAACACGUGAGUAACCUGCCCUUGACUUUGGGAUAACUUCAGGAAACUCGGGCUAAUACCGGAUAGGAGCUCCUGCUGCAUGGUGGGGGUUGGAAAGUUUCGGCGGUUGGGGAUGGACUCGCGGCUUAUCAGCUUUUUGGUUGGGUAGUGGCUUACCAAGGCUUUGACGGGUAGCCGGCCUGCGAGGGUGACCGGCCACAUUGGGACUGAGGUACGGCCCAGACUCCUACGGGAGGCAGCAGUGGGGAAUAUUGCACAAUGGGCGGAAGCCUGAUGCAGCAGCGCCGCGUGCGGGAUGACGGCCUUCGGGUUGUAAACCGCUUUCGCCUGUGACGAAGCGUGAGUGACGGUAAUGGGUAAAGAAGCACCGGCUAACUACGUG